rnacentral:tRNA from 1 species
GGAGAGGUGCCUGAGAGGCCGAAAGGAUCAGUUUGCUAAACUGACGUACUGGAAACGGUACCGAGGGUUCGAAUCCCUCCUUCUCCGCCA